GUACACGCUGUGACUAGCAUAUCAAUAAGCGGAGGAAAAGAAACUAACAAGGAUUCCCUUAGUAACGGCGAGUGAAGCGGGAAGAGCUCAAAUUUGAAAUCUUCAAGGUUUUACCUUGACGAAUUGUAGUUUAAAGAAGUGUUUUCUGCUGAAGUUUUGGUAAAAGUUCUUUGGAAUAGGGCAUCACAGAGGGUGAGAAUCCCGUCUAUGAUUGCGAUUUGUAGCUUUGUGAUACACUUUCAAAGAGUCGGGUUGUUUGGGAAUGCAGCCCAAAGCGGGAGGUAAAUUUCUUCUAAGGCUAAAUAUUGGCGAGAGACCGAUAGCGAACAAGUACCGUGAGGGAAAGAUGAAAAGAACUUUGAAAAGAGAGUUAAACAGUACGUGAAAUUGUCAAAAGGGAAGCGUUUGACACCAGUGUUGUUUUCUCGAAAAUCAAUUAAAAAUGGCUCGAUUUUGUAUUGCUUGAGACCUUAAAAGCUCACUGUACAUUUUUCGUGUCUUUUUUAAUGCACUUUUCGUUUAACAAGUCAACAUCAGUUUCUUUUGUUGUAAAAGGGUCAUUGGAAGGUGGCUUUCUUUUCGGAGAAAGUGUUUAUAGCCUUUGGCCUCUGCAAUCGGAGAGACUGAGGUCUGCAGCGUAGACUCUUCGGGGUUAGAUACAUUUGUGCUAAGUUAUAGCUUUUUAUAGACGACUUGUUGACUAUAAUUAGUCUUGUAGCUUACUCGCUUAUGCUAUUUUACCUACGCUUAGGAUGUUGAGUAGCGACAUACGCAC
rnacentral:rRNA from 1 species